AUGCCAUGAUGUGAGCACCUAACCAGCAUACCAUUGAACCUCUCCCACGUUUUUUGAAAUGUUUCUGUUGGUUUCUGCCCGAAACUCAAUAUCUCAUCUAUUUGUUG
rfam:Nicotiana attenuata strain TT chromosome 7, whole genome shotgun sequence.